CUGUCCGUCCUCGUGGCCGUUUGGUGUCCUGUCCUCCUGCGGAGUACGAAAAUUAUACCCAGAGGAUGAUGCUCCCCGUAGCAAGCCGUGCUGAUGGGGCAGUUUGGGGUAAAGUGUCUUGCUGCCCAAGGACACUUUGGCAUGUGGACAGCGGGACCUGGGAUUUAACCCCUAACCUUCCAAUUGAGAGACGACCGACUCUACCACUGAGCCACAGCAACCCUCUAAGCAAAGCAUGUUGGGAUAAAUAUCUACAUGUACAAAUUAAAUGAAAAUUGUACAUAGAACAGACUGGCAGCGUUAUUUUUUUUACACCUCCUCUAAGGUCAUAAUCAUGCAUUUAAAGACAAUGGUUGUAAAUUAUUAAAGCCCCUGUGGUGAGUUCAUAGUUGAUUGUGAAAAAGACCAACAUUUACAAUCAUGCCAUUUUAUGACCUCCAGAAUCACAUGACACCAUCAGCAACAAGACUGAUCUUAACAGAUAUUGUAAAUUU